rnacentral:rRNA from 1 species
UACGUAGGGGGCAAGCGUUGUCCGGAAUCAUUGGGCGUAAAGCGCGCGUAGGCGGCCCUGUAAGUCCGUUGUGAAAGUCAAAGGCUCAACCUUUGAAAGCCGAUGGAUACUGCAGGGCUGGAGUCCGGAAGAGGCGAGUGGAAUUCCUGGUGUAGCGGUGAAAUGCGCAGAUAUCAGGAGGAACACCAAUGGCGAAGGCAGCUCGCUGGGACGUGACUGACGCUGAGACGCGAAAGCGUGGGGAGCAAACAGG